rnacentral:lncRNA from 1 species
ACCUCACUAAGUAGGCAGAAGUUGCUUCAUAUGCCAAUGUUGCGAAGUCAACAUUCUGUGAAUUAUUGAAAAAUCAUAUGUCGGUAUGAAAUGUCAAAAAGGAUCAUAUCUGACAAUGCACUAAAAUUGAACAACAGCACGAUGUCAAAAGUUUGCAGUCUGUUCAUGGUUAACACGUUUUGCCCCAAAAUACACGGUGCAGUGGGAGCAAAAAC